UACAGAGGUCCCAAGCGUUGUCCGGACUCACUGGGCGUAAAGGGUGCGCAGGCGGCACGGCACGUUCGCGCUGAAAUCCCACGGCUUAACCGUGGGGCGCGUGCGAAUACGGCCGAGCUCGAGGCAGGGAGAGGAUAGGGGAACUCCUGGUGUAGUGGUGAAAUGCGUAGAGAUCAGGAAGAACAUCCGUGGCGCAAGCGCUAUCUGGCCCUGUCCUGACGCUGAGGCACGAGAGCGUGGGGAGCGAACCGG
rnacentral:rRNA from 1 species